rnacentral:rRNA from 1 species
CAGUAGCCGCGGGAAUACAGAGGGUGCGAGCGUUAAUCGGAUUUACUGGGCGUAAAGCGUGCGUAGGCGGCUAAUUGAGUCGGAUGUGAAAUCCCCGAGCUUAACUUGGGAAUUGCAUUCGAUACUGGUUAGCUAGAGUGUGGGAGAGGAUUGUAGAAUUCCAGGUGUAGCGGUGAAAUGCGUAGAGAUCUGGAGGAAUACCGAUGGCGAAGGCAGCCAUCUGGCCUAACACUGACGCUGAGGUACGAAAGCAUGGGGAGCAAACAGGAUUAGAUACCCGUGUAGUCCCUGUCUCUUAUAC